rnacentral:rRNA from 1 species
AGCGGGUGAAAAGCCCGCUCGCCGGAAGACCAAGGGUUCCUGUCCAACGUUAAUCGGGGCAGGGUGAGUCGACCCCUAAGGCGAGGCCGAAAGGCGUAGUCGAUGGGAAACGGGUUAAUAUUCCCGUACUUGGUGUUACUGCGAAGGGGGGACGGAGAAGGCUAUGUUGGCCGGGCGACGGUUGUCCCGGUUUAAGCGUGUAGGUGUGUGUUCCAGGUAAAUCCGGUUCACUUUAACACUGAGGCGUGAUGACGAGGCACUACGGUGCUGAAGCAACAAAUGCCCUGCUUCCAGGAAAAGCCUCUAAGCAUCAGGUAACAUCAAAUCGUACCCCAAACCGACACAGGUGGUCAGGUAGAGAAUACCAAGGCGCUUGAGAGAACUCGGGUGAAGGAACUAGGCAAAAUGGUGCCGUAACUUCGGGAGAAGGCACGCUGACACGUAGGUGAAGUGAUUUACUCAUGGAGCUGAAGUCAGUCGAAGAUACCAGCUGGCUGCAACUGUUUAUUAAAAACACAGCACUGUGCAAACACGAAAGUGGACGUAUACGGUGUGACGCCUGCCCGGUGCCGGAAGGUUAAUUGAUGGGGUCAGCGCAAGCGAAGCUCCUGAUCGAAGCCCCGGUAAACGGCGGCCGUAACUAUAACGGUCCUAAGGUAGCGAAAUUCCUUGUCGGGUAAGUUCCGACCUGCACGAAUGGCGUAAUGAUGGCCAGGCUGUCUCCACCCGAGACUCAGUGAAAUUGAACUCGCUGUGAAGAUGCAGUGUACCCGCGGCAAGACGGAAAGACCCCGUGAACCUUUACUAUAGCUUGACACUGAACAUUGAGCCUUGAUGUGUAGGAUAGGUGGGAGGCUUUGAAGUGUGGACGCCAGUCUGCAUGGAGCCGACCUUGAAAUACCACCCUUUAAUGUUUGAUGUUCUAACGUGGACCCGUAAUCCGGGUUGCGGACAGUGUCUGGUGGGUAGUUUGACUGGGGCGGUCUCCUCCUAAAGAGUAACGGAGGAGCACGAAGGUUGGCUAAUCCUGGUCGGACAUCAGGAGGUUAGUGCAAUGGCAUAAGCCAGCUUGACUGCGAGCGUGACGGCGCGAGCAGGUGCGAAAGCAGGUCAUAGUGAUCCGGUGGUUCUGAAUGGAAGGGCCAUCGCUCAACGGAUAAAAGGUACUCCGGGGAUAACAGGCUGAUACCGCCCAAGAGUUCAUAUCGACGGCGGUGUUUGGCACCUCGAUGUCGGCUCAUCACAUCCUGGGGCUGAAGUAGGUCCCAAGGGUAUGGCUGUUCGCCAUUUAAAGUGGUACGCGAGCUGGGUUUAGAACGUCGUGAGACAGUUCGGUCCCUAUCUGCCGUGGGCGCUGGAGAACUGAGGGGGGCUGCUCCUAGUACGAGAGGACCGGAGUGGACGCAUCACUGGUGUUCGGGUUGUCAUGCCAAUGGCACUGCCCGGUAGCUAAAUGCGGAAGAGAUAAGUGCUGAAAGCAUCUAAGCACGAAACUUGCCCCGA